rnacentral:rRNA from 1 species
GAUGAACGCUAGCUACAGGCUUAACACAUGCAAGUCGAGGGGUAACGAGAGGAAAGCUUGCUUUCCUUGUCGACGACCGGCGCACGGGUGAGUAACGCGUAUCCAACCUGCCCCCAACUAGGGAAUAACCUUGCGAAAGUAAGACUAAUACCCUAUAAUUUCCUCAGAUGUCAUCUGACGAGGAAUAAAGAUUUAUCGGUUGUGGAUGGGGAUGCGUCUGAUUAGCUUGUUGGCGGGGUAACGGCCCACCAAGGCAACGAUCAGUAGGGGUUCUGAGAGGAGGGUCCCCCACAUUGGAGCUGAGACACGGUCCAAACUCCUACGGGAGGCAGCAGUGAGGAAUAUUGGUCAAUGGGCGGAAGCCUGAACCAGCCAAGUAGCGUGCAGGAUGACGGCCCUAUGGGUUGUAAACUGCUUUUAUACAGGAAUAAAGUUAGCCACGUGUGGUUAUUUGUAGGUACUGUAUGAAUAAGGACCGGCUAGUUCCGUGCCAGCCGCCGCGGUAA